rnacentral:rRNA from 1 species
GACGAACGCUGGCGGCGUGCCUAAUACAUGCAAGUAGAACGCACAGUUUAUACCGUAGCUUGCUACACCAUAAACUGUGAGUUGCGAACGGGUGAGUAACGCGUAGGUAACCUGCCUGGUAGCGGGGGAUAACUAUUGGAAACGAUAUCUAAUACCGCAUCAUAUUGUUUAUUGCAUGAUAAUUGAUUGAAAGAUGCUAUUGCAUCACUACCAGAUGGACCUGCGUUGUAUUAGCUAGUAGGUGAGGUAACGGCUCACCUAUGCGGCGAUACAUAGCCGACCUGAGAGGGUGAUCGGCCACACUGGGACUGAGACACGGCCCAGACUCCUACGGGAGGCAGCAGUAGGGAAUCUUCGGCAAUGGACGAAAGUCUGACCGAGCAACGCCGCGGGAGUGAAGAAGGGUUUCGGAUCGUAAAGCUCUGUUGUAAGAGAAGAACGGGUGUGAGAGUGGAAAGUUCACACUGUGACGGUAGCUUAACAGAAAGGGACGGCUAACUACGUG